GUAGAUUCAAGAAUCAAGAUGUAUAAUAUGAUACAAUACAACACAAUGACAAGACAGCACAUCAAUAACUAGAAUGUAAUCAUCGUGCCCUUCACAUUGUAAACUACCACUAGAUCUAUUUUAUUCCAAAAACAAUUUCCAUCACUGUUUAAAAUCACUUAUAAGCAUUUUUAGGGUAGUAUUCAACAAGGCAAUAUUGCACGUAUUAUGGUGGUAUCGGUCUCGAAUAUGGUUUUAGAGUAUAUGUGACCCUUGGACAACAAGGGUGAGAAACACCACUACCAGUUGUUGCGAACUGCCCACAUUUAUAUCUUCAAUGUGUAUUAUCUGUUAUUUAUAGUCUUUUCACCAAUAAAAGCAUUUUUAUUCUAUUAUCUGUGACCAUUAAGACAUAAAGUUGUAAGAGUUGAACUUUACUAAGCCUAUCUUGUAAAAAAAAAUAAUAACAACAAUAAUGAUAAUCAUAGUAAUAAUAGUAAGAUAGCAAUAUCAGACUAUACCAAGAUAUAUCCAAAAACAACCAAUGAACUUAUCCACAUGAGAUCCAUCUAAAAUAAUCAGUUCGAUGGAUAUUACUUUGAUCACAACGAUCACAUCUAAUAUACUCAAACUAUAAAAAAGUAACACAGCAAUUACACAUAGAUGUGCAAACUAGAUCAUGAUAAAUCAACAUAUAAAAAAUAUAUGUUUAACACUGUGCAAGACAUUGGAACUCUGCAGUGUUCAUAGACCACACAUACCUUCUGAAGAGCGAUAGGGACUGCUGGGCCUUUUGCUUUAGCAUAACCAACAACACCAUGAUAAUUCCCACAAGCUAAUAUGGCAGUGUACUUG
rnacentral:lncRNA from 1 species